ACCGCCAAGGCGCAUAUUAACCCGAUUCGGCGAAUGCAGACAUUCAGUCGACUAAUACAAUAAUAAGUUGGUGUCGCGUUUGCGUAGUUUUUAGUUUAUAAUAAUAUGUGCUUAUAAAUCGCUUCAAAAUUUAAUUGUUUGGGACCAGAUCAACGUCGAGGAAGCAGUUGCAACUAUUACAAAAUACAAAAUAUUACAAUACGGUGACGACAAUAUUACGACGACUUAAGUUCUAUCGACUAUCAGUAAACUUUUGCAGGCGAUGAAUAUAAAAUCACUACGAAUCAAGAAACCGCUGGUGGAUACGUACGUUGGAUAAGGAAGCACUGUGUCUCCAGAAAAUGACGUUAUUUUAAAACGAUUUAUGGAGUUCUUAUACUUCUAGAACAGCACCUAUAGAACGAUCGAGUAAGGUAUAAUUAGACCGAGUCUGUAAGGAAUAAGGAUGGUCGAAUAAUAUUUUUAAGGUGCCACUUAUAAAGGAAUAUUUUUGAAGGCCAUCAAAAUGCAAUCUAUAUCUACGCUUUCGUAUCCAAGGAAAGAAGCCUCAAUUAAUUUAGAAUAAACAAAAAUUAUAGAAAAAAAAAUGCCCUGGACUGUUUGUAUACUAUCUUUAUUUAACGAUUUCGGAGCACUCUUUCGCUCAUUGUUAUCUGCAGAUGAUCAUAUUUUCUUUACAUUGGUCUACGCAGUGACAAGUAAGCGGUAUAAUAUUAUUAUUAUUAUAAGCGUUGGCUGUGUACAGUUGUACAUAAAAUACGUUUAUUACAAUUAUACAUGUGCGCAAUAACAAUGUGUGUAUAAGAUAAUUGAUUGCCCCGCGGCUUGGAAAAUAUUCUCCACAUUUGUUUGCCGUUUCACAUCACAUACCUACCUAUACCCGAGGCGUUUCGCAGUUGUGCAGCAGUAGCCACGCGGGGACGGCCGUCGUCGAUGAUGAAUAUAAAUAAUAGGUGUUGCUGUAUAUGCUCCCUUUCCUAUAUUUUAACGCUUCGCGCCUAUGCGGUUAAUAGAGCAGCUUUGGUCCGUCUGCAGAUGCUAAGUUUAGCAUUAUAUUAUUUUAAACUCGUAUCUGUAUCAUGUUGCGGUUUUCAGAACAAAACACGUCGUAUAAUCCAAACGUCGCGAUGUGCAGCCAUAUUCGUGGACUACAGUAACACUUUCGUCUGCUACCUUCUCUCCCAAUAACACAUUUGACUGAUUAACCUUGGUAAGUACU